UAUGCCAUGUCGUCACAUAUC
rnacentral:miRNA from 1 species